UACGUAGGGUGCAAGCGUUGUCCGGAAUUAUUGGGCGUAAAGAGCUCGUAGGCGGUUUGUUGCGUCGGCUGUGAAAUCCCGAGGCUCAACCUCGGGUCUGCAGUCGAUACGAGCAAACUAGAGUGUUGCAGGGGAGACUGGAAUUCCUGGUGUAGCGGUGAAAUGCGCAGAUAUCAGGAGGAACACCGGUGGGCGAAGGCGGUUCUCUGGG
rnacentral:rRNA from 1 species